rnacentral:rRNA from 1 species
AGUGAAAGACGGUCUUGCUGUCACUUAUAGAUGGACCCGCGCCGUAUUAGCUAGUUGGUGGGGUAACGGCCUACCAAGGCGACGAUACGUAGCCGACCUGAGAGGGUGAUCGGCCACACUGGAACUGAGACACGGUCCAGACUCCUACGGGAGGCAGCAGUAGGGAAUCUUCCGCAAUGGGCGAAAGCCUGACGGAGCAACGCCGCGUGAGUGAUGAAGGUCUUCGGAUCGUAAAGCUCUGUUGUUAGGGAAGAACAAAUGUGUAAGUAACUGUGCACAUCUUGACGGUACCUAACCAGAAAGCCACGGCUAACUACGUGCCAGCAGCCGCGGUAAUACGUAGGUGGCAAGCGUUAUCCGGAAUUAUUGGGCGUAAAGCGCGCGUAGGCGGUUUUUUAAGUCUGAUGUGAAAGCCCACGGCUCAACCGUGGAGGGUCAUUGGAAACUGGAAAACUUGAGUGCAGAAGAGGAAAGUGGAAUUCCAUGUGUAGCGGUGAAAUGCGCAGAGAUAUGGAGGAACACCAGUGGCGAAGGCGGCUUUCUGGUCUGCAACUGACGCUGAUGUGCGAAAGCGUGGGGAUCAAACAGGAUUAGAUACCCUGGUAGUCCACGCCGUAAACGAUGAGUGCUAAGUGUUAGGGGGUUUCCGCCCCUUAGUGCUGCAGCUAACGCAUUAAGCACUCCGCCUGGGGAGUACGGUCGCAAGACUGAAACUCAAAGGAAUUGACGGGGACCCGCACAAGCGGUGGAGCAUGUGGUUUAAUUCGAAGCAACGCGAAGAACCUUACCAAAUCUUGACAUCCUUUGACCGCUCUAGAGAUAGAGUUUUCCUCUUCGGAGGACAAAGUGACAGGUGGUGCAUGGUUGUCGUCAGCUCGUGUCGUGAGAUGUUGGGUUAAGUCCCGCAACGAGCGCAACCCUUGAACUUAGUUGCCAUCAUUCAGUUGGGCACUCUAAGUUGACUGCCGGUGACAAACCGGAGGAAGGUGGGGAUGACGUCAAAUCAUCAUGCCCCUUAUGAUUUGGGCUACACACGUGCUACAAUGGACAAUACAAAGGGCAGCGAAACCGCGAGGUCAAGCAAAUCCCAUAAAGUUGUUCUCAGUUCGGAUUGUAGUCUGCAACUCGACUACAUGAAGCUGGAAUCGCUAGUAAUCGUAGAUCAGCAUGCUACGGUGAAUACGUUCCCGGGUCUUGUACACACCGCCCGUCACACCACGAGAGUUUGUAACACCCGAAGCCGGUGGAGUAACCAUUUUGGAGCUAGCCGUCGAAGGUGGGACAAAUGAUUGGGGUGAAGUCGUAACAAGGUAGCCGUAUCGGAAGGUGCGGCUGGA